rnacentral:rRNA from 1 species
AAUACAUGCAAGUCGAGGGGUAAUUACACUUCUCGGGUGUGAACGACCGGCGCACGGGUGCGUAACGCGUAUGCAACCUACCCACAACUGGGGGAUAGCCCGGAGAAAUCCGGAUUAAUACCCCAUAAUGCAUUGAUACCGCAUGGUAUUAUUUGCUAAAGAUUUAUCGGUUGUGGAUGGACAUGCGUCUGAUUAGUUAGUUGGUGAGGUAACGGCUCACCAA